rnacentral:lncRNA from 1 species
CCUUAAGCUCCGGUAGAUUGCAAAUAACCUGCUUUCUUUCUGUUCCCGAGCUGCCUUCGGACCCGUCGGAUCGUAAAUCCCACGUAAGGUACCUGCCGUCGGAAGAUUUGAACUUUCUACUUGGACACCUAAUACCCACAGUCCUCCAGCUGCGUUCGGACCCGUCGGAUCGUAAAUCCCACGUAAGGUCGGAAGAUUUGAACUUUCUACUUGGACACCUAACACCCACAGUCCUCCAGCUGCGUUCGGACCCGUCUGAUCGUAAAUCCCAUGUAAGGUACCUGCCGUCGGAAGAUUUGAACGUUCUACUUGGACACCUAAAACCCACAGUCCUCCAGACAGAAAGACAACAGGUACAAAGCCCUAAGGAUUAUAAAGGUAUGCUGCUUACCAUCAUCUUAGUGACCAAGGCAGCGAAGCUGUUUCUGUACCUUGGAACAGUCUUCCCUGACAAGCCAGAGAACAGUGAUAAAGCCACCAGCCUUGGGAUCAGGACUGAAAAGGCAAGAGUGAUGGAGAUUUCUCCUGCGCUAAGCCAAGAGAAGGUUUCAGCACUUCAGACAGCUCCCACCGAAGUAGCCGCGCUCCCAGCUGCUUGCAGAUGUUGAAAAGGAAAGCCUCGGUUUGUCUUGAGGUUGUCAGCAGGUGCAAGACACGUAAUAAAAUGCAAUGUGUUCCUAAUUCAUUGCAUAUCCUCAGCUUUAAAUUUGGGUAGCAAAAUGAUUACUCUAGAUUCUUCAGUCUUGGCAAGUAUCUGUACCUAAAAAGCAGUUUUUCUACCUAAUGUCUUUUUUUGUUUUUGUUUUUCAAUACACCUUAAGCAAAUUGAAGCUUUUGUUCCUGGAGGAAAAGUGGUUUGAUAUGUUCAUCUAUCUUUUAGUAAAUUUGGGGGCAUAACUUUUCCAAUUCUGAGGAACUUUUCUAAGAAGAGUGCAUAAAAGUUUGUUGUUGUUUUUAAAGGAUGCAACAUUCAGCCUGUGUCAUGAGUUUAAUUAUACAAUUUAAAGGACAUAUGUGCAAUGCAUUUUGCAGAUGUGUGCCGGAUAUAUAUGUGCAGAUAAUGGGCAAGUAUAUAUGUGUGCAUAUAUAUAUCGGGAGUAUACUAUAUAAACACACAAUACACGCCCACCCACACACAUUGUGUAUUUUCCAGAAAAAAAAAAAAAAGCAUGUCAGGACUUACAUCUAAGUUAGAGAUGCUGUUUAGAACCCCAUUAAAAAAUGUACAUGUUAUAUCCCUGAUUUGUUUCUCAGGACACCUGUGUUUAUGUGAGAAUCAUUUCUAGACACAUGUCACAAUAAAAAGAAGGACAUGUAUACUCCAAGUUAAGAUUUUUUAAAAAAAGAUGGAGAUCAUCUGAAAUAAAAUUCAGAGCUCUUGCCUUUCCUUUCUCCUAGCGACACCUAGAGCCUGUUGAGAAAAAAACUGCACAUUGUUCUCACUCCAAACAUCCACAAUUCAACAAUUUUAAGUCAGAUUUAAGGAUAAUCACCACCACCACCGCUGGGGGGAAAAAGUGUCUAGGAGAAGUAAGAAGAGGAACGAAGGAGAGGCAUUUGAGUCAAGGGACAGAGUGAGUAGGAGAGGAGGGGCACGAUGGAGAGAUUCCAGACACAGGUGGGAGGGAGAGAAGGUGCCUGAGGCUGUGUUCCCGGAGCACGAAAUAAAUAAAAAAUAAACCAACUCGUAAGCACAGGCCGAUCGAAUUCUCUCCUUAGGAACCAUAGCAGCAUGCUGUUAAAAACAGACAUCCGCACAUCCAGGGAACGUAAGGCGAAUUCCAGAUCCCAGCAGGCGCAGUACCCAAACCCCGCUCUCUCCAGCCACCAACUCCCGGCCGCCGCGGCUGCAGACACAGACCCGCUCCCUCCGGGACGGCGAUGACCGCGAUCUGGCGCCACGGAGCCUGUCUGGGGGCGCCCGGAGAGUCGUG